rnacentral:rRNA from 1 species
CAAUAGCGUAUAUUUAAGUUGUUGCAGUUAAAAAGCUCGUAGUUGGAUUUCGGAUGGGACUUGCCGGUCCGUCGUUUCGAUGUGCACUGGCCAGUCCUAUCUUGUUGUCGGGGACUAGCUCCUGGGCUUCACUGUCCGGGACUAGGAGCUGACGAGGUUACUUUGAGUAAAUUAGAGUGUUCAAAGCAAGCCUACGCUCUGAAUACAUUAGCAUGGAAUAACACGAUAGGACUCUGGCUUAUCUUGUUGGUCUGUGAGACCAGAGUAAUGAUUAAGAGGGACAGUCGGGGGCAUUCGUAUUUCAUCGUCAGAGGUGAAAUUCUUGGAUUUAUGAAAGACGAACUUCUGCGAAAGCAUUUGUCAAGGAUGUUUUCAUUAA